CAAUAGCGUAUAUUAAAGUUGUUGCAGUUAAAAAGCUCGUAGUUGGAUUUCUGGUGGGAGCGAUCGGUCUGGCGCUUAGCGCGAGUACUUGCAUCGUCUCCGGCCAUCCUUGGGGAGAGUCUGUCUGGCAUUAGGUUGUCGGGCAGAGGAUCCUCAUCGUUUACUGUGAAAAAAUUAGAGUGUUCAAAGCAGGCUUAUGCCGUUGAAUAUAUUAGCAUGGAAUAAUAAGAUAGGACUUUGGUACUAUUUUGUUGGUUUGCGCACCAAAGUAAUGAUUAAUAGGGACAGUUGGGGGUAUUCGUAUUCCGUUGUCAGAGGUGAAAUUCUUGGAUUUACGGAAGACGAACUACUGCGAAAGCAUUUACCAAGGAUGGUUUCAUUAA
rnacentral:rRNA from 1 species